GGGCGGAGGAGCCGAGCGCAGAGCGGCCGCCCCCAUCGAUGGGCCUGGCCCCGGCCCGCCCCGCCCGCCCCCUGGCGUCCGAGCGGCCGCGGGGCUCCCGGCGGGCCCGGCCGCGGGGCGGGGUCACCCCGGGCAGCGCCUCCCGCAGCCGCCGCGCCAGCGUCUCCUGUCAGGUUUUACAGGUUGUGUCGCCUGCACGUGCAGCCGCUUUCAAUCCGUUGCCUGAUUUCUCCUAAGUCUACAACGCGGUCACAUAACGAUUCCUGCCGCCCCCCUACCCCCCAGGUGUUCCACCGCUUCUCCAGGUUUGGCCAAGAAGCUUGCGUGCCUUCUCAGGUGCUCGGUUUUCUUUCCAGGCCCCGUGGGUGAUGAGCAGGAUGAACAGAUGUCAUCGCCGCUUCAGCACCUGCAUGAGAUGCAUCACGCACAGGCUGCAGGGAGAUUGCACUGUUUCUGGAGGUCCUCCUACAGCUGGUCGUUGCUCACAAAGAAAACUGUUACAGAUGGUGCUUGAAGAACCACACUGGUCACCACACAAACAGCUCCUCACCUGCCAGCCCAGUGGAACGGAUUCAUGUUGUGUCACCUGUACCACCAUCUCCAAACCCAAGCACUGAAUUUGCAGCAGCAAUUUUAUGGAGAACAAUACAGAAUAUUCACAUCAGUGAUAUGACGAGAAGUAUCAAUCUGCUCCUGAGAGGAAACCAGCAGCUGCCCAGGAUGCUGCAGCUGAAGACUUCGACUUAGACAACUCUGUAUCCAGGCGUCUGGGUUUUCCCCAAUGGCUCACUUGGUACUGGUGGAAGCAUGCCUGGCCUGGUGACGAUUAACCCCUCAGCAGGCUCUAAAGUGCUCCUCAAGCCCUGCAGCAGCAUUUGUUAGCACUCUUCAGGACUACCCAAGCUCAUUUUCCAUCAAGGCACUAACGUCAUCAAUAAGGCAAAAUUAUGAAAGGAAAAAGUGUGUUAUACUAUAUCCCUAGUGGACAAAACUGCAAAGAGAACUUGGAACAAUAAUAAAGCUGUAAAUGACAUUUUACAUCUUUCUUCCACUAGUGAGUCAACUCUGAUUACCAUGAUGUGUAAACACUUUAUCGUGGAUGUUAAAAUUAACAUUUUUAAAACCUCAACAAUUAUUUUCAAGAAAAACAACCUGCUAAAUUAGAAGCCACUCUGAAAAAAAGAUUUUUAAAGGGUUUGAAGAACUCAGCUUCUUAGGCUCUUGGUAUCCACCUACAGUGCCAAGUAGGAGAGCUGGAUUGAUUGAGCUUCAUUUCUUGUCAUUCAGGCUAGUAGAGGCAAGGACUUCAAAAUAAGAAUGGCACAUAUUGACUUACAGCAUUUUAGCUGCACGAAGCAUGCAUCUGAAUGCUUUUCUUGCUCAGAAAUUUAUACUAUCUUCAUUGGGAACUGAAUUUGCAGAGUCAAAGUGAAUGUUAUUUUGAUCUUAUUGAGACUGAUAACCUAUGAUUCAGUGAAAAUGUUAAUUAUUUAAUGUGUUCCCGUGGAUUUGUAAUUUGAGGGAGGAAACUGAAAGCCAAAUGGCUACUGAUGUCUGUGUAUGGGGUAUCUCAUUGUUUUAAUUUGGAGUUAGGUAUCUCAAGACCCCUUACAAUAUAUGCUGAAAGAGCUGUUUGAAAGCAGCGUUAUUUGUUGUUCUGCUCAGGUGCAAAAGCUUAAAAUAAAAAAUUUGAGAACAUUCUGGUGAAAAGGUAAAGAUUUUAGGCUAUCUUGAAUUAGGAAAAAAUGAAUGAGUAGCAGCUUUGGAACUAAAAAUAAUGCAAAUGUGAGUCACCCUUGUGUAACUUUUCCUUGAAGCCCCCAAAUCUUUUCUUCAUUGUUUUGUUGAUGUUCCUCUCUGCUAUCACUUUUCUGCUUCAGUAAGAAAAGCAAAGUGAUUUUCCAUGAGAGAAGAUGAAGCUCUGGUGACACUUAGCCUUUUCAUUGUGACAAUUUCCCUUUGUGGACCCUGGAAAAAGAGUGUGUGUCUUAAUAUCGAACAAUGUCCUAAUAGGAAACACACUGAAUAGUGCCUUGUACAAGAAAAUGGCUACGAAUAGGCCAGUUUUCAUCAAUAGCAUUUCUAAGAGCAGACUCAUUCAAAUGCUUACUCCAUAUGUGAUUUUCUGUUGUUGUUGCCAUUCGUGUUGUAUCUCUAAAUGAUUUUGUUUUGCUGUUUGUUUCUCCACUAGAUUUUUUUUUUGUUGCUUUCUCAUCACAACUAGAAAUUACUAUAUUUUUUAAAAACUGUAGAGAUGGAUAAUCAAUUGCACUUAAAAAGGGGAUAAACUGUGUUCAAUUUCUACAUCGUCUGUAGCUUUGAUGUCCGAUUCUCGGUCCUCCAGACCAGCAGUUCAGGGUGCCUGGCAGGGCGGCCACUAGAGGGCACGAAAUGAUUUUAAACUCCGAAGUUACCAGAGUAAAAGCAGGCGAAGACUUUGAACUAGCAAAGCAGUGAAGGAAAUGCAAUAAACGCGACAAAUACGU